rnacentral:rRNA from 1 species
UCCGGUUGAUCCCGCCGGAGGCUACCGCUAUUGGAGUUCGAUUAAGCCAUGCGAGUCGCGAGUCUUAGGGACUCGGCGUACCGCUCAGUAACACGUGGGUAACCUGCCCUAUGCUGGGGGAUAACCUCGGGAAACUGAGAAUAAUACCCCAUAGUUCACCACGCCUGGAACGGUGGGUGGAUGAAAGCUCCGGCGGCAUAGGAUGGGCCUGCGGCGUAUCAGGUUGUAGGGGGUGUAAUGUACCCUCUAGCCAUCUACGCGUACGGGUGUUGGGAGACAUCGCCCGGAGAUGGAUUCUGAGACACGAAUCCAGACCCUACGGGGUGCAGCAGGCGCGAAAACUUGGCAAUGCGAGCAAUCGUGACCAGGGAACUCCAAGUGCAUCGGGUAAGACCGAUGCUUUUCUUGACUCUUCAAAGGUCUUGGAAUAAGGGGUGGGUAAGGACGGUGCCAGCCGCCGCGGUAAUACCGGCGCCUCAAGUGGUAGUCGCUUUUAUUGGGCCUAAAACGUCCGUAGCCGGUUUGGUACAUUCGUGGGUAAAUCAAGGCGCUCAACGUCUUGAAUUCUGCGAGCACGGCCAGACUUGGGACCGGGUGAGGUGUGGGGUACUCUCAGGGUAGGGGUAAAAUCCUGUCAUCCUGAGAGGACCACCUGUUGCGAAGGCGCCACACUAGAACGGAUCCGACGGUCAGGGACGAAGCCUAGGGGCACGAACCGGAUUAGAUACCCGGGUAGUCCUAGGUGUAAACGCUGUGGACUUGAUGUUGGGAGUGCUCCGAGCACCCUCAGUGUCGAAGCGAAGGUGAUAAGUCCACUGCCUGGGGAGUACGGUCGCAAGGCUGAAACUUAAAGGAAUUGGCGGGGGAGCACUGCAACCUGAGGAUUGUGCGGUUUAAUUGGAGUCAACGCCG